rnacentral:snoRNA from 1 species
GUGGUCCUGAAUCAAGGCCAGUAGUGUGCUGUAGCUGCUGGUUUCAAACAGGAGAAAAGUCUUUCUAGGAGCAAAAGAGAAGUCUUUCUAGGGGCUGUUGACCAUUUCAGAACUUUGGAAAUGCAACAGUCCAUUCUUUACAAAGAAAUAGCU